UACGGAGGGUGCAAGCGUUAUCCGGAUUCACUGGGUUUAAAGGGUGCGUAGGCGGGUAAGUAAGUCCGUGGUGAAAUCUCCGGGCUUAACUCGGAAAGGUCAACUGAUACUGUGCGACUAGAGUGCGGAAGGGGCAACUGGAAUUCUCGGUGUAGCGGUGAAAUGCGUAGAUAUCGAGAGGAACACCUGCGGCGAAGGCGGGUUGCUGGGCCGACACUGACGCUGAUGCGCGAAAGCCAGGGGAGCGAACGGG
rnacentral:rRNA from 1 species